rnacentral:lncRNA from 11 species
GACACUUAUUGUUAAAUCCUGUUGAUUCUAUUGCUUAAGUUUCAAAUGGCUACUAUUUGGUAAUUGCUUCCUUGUGCAAGAUUCUGCAAGAAUUGAUUGUGUACAGAGAUGUAUCCUUGUGUGUAAAAUACUUCUCUAUAUUCUAGUUGCUGGAAUAUGCUCAUCAGAAAAUGGAAUCUCAUGCACUAGAUUUUCAGAACUUGAAAGAUUCUGAACUCAAGACAAAAGUGAUGGGCCAAACAGAGGCACAAGAAAGUGGAGACAGCCAAAUAGAUGUUGGUCCCUAAAGACUCUCAAGAUUUUGUAUUCUGUAAUAAUAAACAAGGAAAUUCCCCC